AUUGAACGCUGGCGGCAUGCCUUACACAUGCAAGUCGAACGGCAGCACGGGAGCAAUCCUGGUGGCGAGUGGCGAACGGGUGAGUAAUACAUCGGAACGUGCCCAGUAGUGGGGGAUAACCCGGCGAAAGCCGGACUAAUACCGCAUACGACCUACGGGUGAAAGCAGGGGAUCGCAAGACCUUGCGCUAUCGGAGCGGCCGAUGUCAGAUUAGCUAGUUGGUGGGGAAAAGCCCACCAAGGCGACGAUCUGUAGCUGGUCUGAGAGGACGACCAGCCACACUGGGACUGAGACACGGCCCAGACUCCUACGGGAGGCAGCAGUGGGGAAUUUUGGACAAUGGGCGCAAGCCUGACGCAGCGACGCCGCGUGAGGGAUGACGGCU
rnacentral:rRNA from 1 species